UUAGUGGCGGACGGGUGAGUAACGCGUGGAAAACCUGCCGUAUACUGGGGGAUAACACUUAGAAAUAGGUGCUAAUACCGCAUAAGCGCACAGCUUCGCAUGAAGCGGUGUGAAAAACUCUGGUGGUAUACGAUGGUUCCGCGUCUGAUUAGCUAGUUGGUGGGGUAAUGGCCUACCAAGGCAACGAUCAGUAGCCGGCCUGAGAGGGUGAACGGCCACAUCGGGACUGAGACACGGCCCAAACUCCUACGGAAGGCAGCAG
rnacentral:rRNA from 1 species